UACAGAGGGUGCAAGCGUUGUUCGGAAUUACUGGGCGUAAAGCGCGUGUAGGCUGCGAUGUAAGCCAGGUGUGAAAGCCCUCAGCUUAACUGAGGAAGUGCACUUGAUACUGUGUCGCUUGAGUGUCGGAGGGGGUGGCGGAAUUCCCGGUGUAGAGGUGAAAUUCGUAGAUAUCGGGAGGAACACCUGUGGCGAAGGCGGCCACCUGGACGACAACUGACGCUGAGACGCGAAAGCGUGGGUAGCAAACAGG
rnacentral:rRNA from 1 species